UUUUUUGUCCAUUUUACUUUAAUAGGUAUACAACCCAGGAUUUAAAAUUGACUCAGUGCUGUCUGAUCCAGUCUGCCUUUGAAUUUCAGUCAUUACGAAAAUAUUCCAAUAAAAUGGCAAUUUACUUGAAGGGGGGAAAAAAAGACUUCCCAGCAUGGUAUCCACUGAAAACUGACUGUAUUCUGACUACAAUGAGAAAAAAAGGCUUGAAUAUCGGCAAUGAAAC